UAAAAACUCCCAAUUUUAGCAAAUUUUCAACAACUGAACAAAGAGACUCGGUAGUCCAAUAUUCAAAAUCUAUCGAGAAAACUGAAAAAUGCCUGGUUUCAAAUUUUGAAUAGAACACAGGUUGAAAUAACCAUAUUUCAAGCUUUUAGAACUUGUACGGAAAGAUACUCUCUAGUUUGAAACUUGAGGUGCUGGAAGAAGCGAUAAAUGAAAUAGCAGAAGCUGCAGAACAUAAACGCUUAUCAGUAGCUUUCGGACCACUUCCAGAUUUCUUUUAUGAACUGCGAGAAACAAAGGCAUCACAUACGUCUUAAACUCCUCAUACUCGAUCCAAACUUCAUUUGUGGAUUCAUCAUGUAUUCAUGUAGCAGGACCUUUGUCUUCAUCGACUUGAGGCAAACAACACUGCUGAAGUUCCCGUCGACACAGGGAUUGACGAUGCUAUCCUUAAAUCAAAUAUCCGAUGGGCGAGGCCUUAUUUUCCUGCAAGGAAAUUGCCCGUGAGUGACUGAAGACCAUAAUUUAUGGGACGGACUGACAGGUUUUCCGACUGUUUUGUUUGAAUUUUGAGGCACUGAAAGUCGAGAAAGAACUCCCAUGGGUUCCAAGCCUCUACUACCUUGGGUUAUUCUCUCUAUUUUUUAUGUCUCGGCGUUCUUCAGGCUAUUAAGAGAGUGAGAAGCCUUGAAGACUGCGAGUCAGGUGGUAGGGGAGGUUGAACGGAUCGCUGGACUGGUUGCUCUCCUCUCUCGUUCCAUGGAGAAGACUCAAAUGCAUUCAUUCGGCGACAGUUUUGUUAAAUAACUAAAUACCUUUACUGUUUCAUCUUUACUGUUUCUGACAAUUGAGCAUCUGUUAAUAUUCCGUUGAAACUCGUCCAUAAGUGAAGUAUAAUUUUUUUAAAAUCCAAUUUUACCCUUACAAUUUUCUUCCGUGACAAAUCGAGUUGGCUUGGUCUUUAACCAACGGCGGCGAUAGCACUCACCGAGGGAGCGUGUUUAGUUGGGUCUUGGGUUAAAGGAGAAAUUGGCUUGAGAAUUUACUAUUACGAUGAACUAGUUGAGGAGCAGAAAGAGGGAGCGUCGCCACUAACGAGGAGGCUCCGCCCCCCAACGGAAGCACAGAAGUUGCCUGAGGAGGAGAAGGAUCCGAGCAGGAACUUGCAGCCAUGCUAAAUCCAGCCCUCUUGAUGUGAUUGUGCACCGCGCCAAGUACCUCCUAGAGCGUAAUGGGUUCGGAAACUAUCAUAACAAUUGCGAGAACCUUGCGAUCUACUGCUCCACCGGCUUGAUCGCGCAGAAGCCUUGUGAGAUCGGACAAGUUGGGUUCUUGAAAUGCUUUCUUGGGAAGCUUCAUAAAAGUGGGAAUCUGAAGGCCUUACGCGACUUUCUCCGAAACAACUGUUUCUAGAACCGACGAGUGGAGUCCACUGUUAUUUUGUUCCGGAGAUUUUCGGCAAGGGCAAACUUUCGGAUGCCAUUAGAGCGAAAAUUGGGAGUAUCGUUGCAUAUCUUCUGAAGCUCUUUAGUGGGAGUGACAGCAACAUGAGCGUUUCUCUUCCUAAUGCUCCUGCUCUGCCUAUCAAGAUUUUUCUUAAUCUUCUUGAUGUGUGUUUUGUCUUAUUUGUCGCUCUCUCCCAAUCAGAUAUUGAAAUUCACGAGGAUGUUGACAACACUUGCCGACUCCUUCACAGCUGGACUUGUGACAUGUUGUGCAUGGGUUUUGAUGAACAUUGGAGUCACCCCAGGAGGAGCUGGAGAAAUACGAGGGAUUUCCUCAUGAUAGAAGUGAAUGACUUGUUCGUCCCCGAUGUAUAUCCCUAGAGGAAAGCUUGGAGAAUAAACCCAUCGUCAUUUUCUUUCGGUAGAAACAUUAAAACGAGAGAGAGAGAGAGAGAGAGAGGAGCCGGUUAAAGAUCGAGGUAGUUUAGUUUGUCGCUGCUGAAAAGAAGAAAACGGUAAGAGUAAAAUUGGGUUUUUUUUUAAUUGUUA